CCAAUGUUUAUGGAAUUUUAUUUCUAUGUUUCCACUACUGUAUUGGAUACUAAAAUUAACAGACGAAGAUGCUGAUUUUAAAAUUUAGUUCAUUGUGUUAUCCAGCUGUUUCAGUGGUAUUGGAUAUUAAUAUCGUUAUUCAGAAAAAUGAAAUGUCUAAAGCAUUAGAAAAAAGAUGAAACUGGUUGAAUGCUUGUAUCUUCGUAGAAACCACAGUCCUCUGUGGUAAAAACCAUGCCUUUCCUAUAUAGUGACUGACAAAGCUGAUUAAUUUCGACCACAUAUUUUUAAAUUAAGAAACAUGACGAAAAAGCUACGUAUAAAGCUAUUUCUAGCUUGAAACCGAAGCCUACUUAUCAUUUAUUUAUAUUAAUCCCAUAAUCAAGGUACAGUGCACAUUUGAAUCAGUCAAUUACAAUUAACUUGAAAGACAGAUGUCCUCAUACAUGCUCAAUAUUUAUGAAGCCUUCGACUAAAAAUGACUGAAAUCAAUGAUAAAGUUACAGAGGAAGUACAGAAUCAAUAUAGAAUACACCUGGCAUACAGAUGCAAUCCUUUUUCGUGUCAUAUUGUGUCUCGUGUCCUACAUUUUGUGAAUCAAGACUGUCACGAAGAUGGUUCACGAGUCCACGAGUCACGGGUCACCUGACUUGAUUGACCGCUGUACCAUUUUCGAGUCACAUGCGACAUUAUCGAUUAUAGUAAAUACUUAAUCAUAUUAUAUCAUACAUAGUAAAUAGUUAAUCAAUGAUUUCAUAAUAAAAUUUUGUCUUAAUUCCAAUCACUACAAACGUUUUAAUAAUAUUCUACACUGAAUCGAUAACACUGGAAACGAUAAUAAAAUGGUAAGAGAACUCCGCAGCCCUGGAAGCGUGACACAAAGGUAUAUUGGGUGAUAGAUCUAUACUAUACUUAGUCAAUGUCAAUACGUAUAUGUAUUAUCAGAUAUUAUACAUAAUUGACAAAACAGAACAUUUCUUCUCGCUAAUUAAAUUGAAAAUGUUUGUAAUGUAACAUAAAAUAAUCUAUUAUAAAUAUAUAAAUAAUUCGUUAAAACAAAAUUUUUUAAUAUUCGUACAUGUAAAAUAUCUUUUUGCUAUUAUUAACGUUUACUGCAUACUUUUAAUUAGAUAAAACAAGUACAUAUUGCAUUCCAAAAAAAAAAAAAAAAA
rnacentral:lncRNA from 1 species